rnacentral:tRNA from 1 species
GGCGAUAUGGAGAAGCGGUAACUCAACGGAAACUUUUGAAGCCUGUAAUCGUCGGUUCGAAUCCGGCUGUCGUCACCA